rnacentral:rRNA from 1 species
AUGAGUACUUAUUGUAUGCUUGUUUGUUUGUCUGCGAUAGAAUACCCGGAGUGCGCCGCCUGUUACUUCGAAUCGUUAGGAUCAUCAGCAAGGAUGGCGGAUGCAAGGAACAAGUUCACGCAACCGGAUGAAGAUACACCCUUUGGACGCCACUUGAAGGAAGUCACUAGAUACCUGAAUAUAGGAGUACCAAGCUUCACGGGAACCUACAACGCCACUUUACCUGAAGAAGAGCGCUGGAUGAUUCAAGUUCAAGUACCAGGAAGGAUGUUCAUGCCAGUCACUGAGCCCAUAGAGUUUUCUUUUGAUGCACCAACUUGGAGUCUAGGAAAGAGCAUGGCAGCUCACAUCGCCAUGGGACGCAUUGGAGAAGUCUACCACAAGGAUCUCAAGGAUACUAUCUACCAGAUUUGUGGGCGCCGAGAUGAACACUGGGAGAUGAUCAGCACCAGGAAGGAUAGAUCAAUCGCAGCUUUUAUCCAGGAGUUAAACCAGCACAUUCGACGACAGGAGAACCAGAUGUGCGUCGACAUGUUAGAUCUGAAGAAGGCUAAGACUAGAAUCAAAGAAUUGGAGGAAGAACUCAAGGCUACACGUGAAGAUUAUGAAGAGGAAAUUGAAAUACUGGUGGAGAAGAAUGACGACCUGAUCAAGAAGAUUGGAAUAUUUAUGGGAGACUCUACGCCAGUAGAUGAAGACGAAGAACCCCAGGAAAUUAGCCCGGAAGACUACAUCAUCAUCGACGGCACCGACUCGGAAGCAGAUAGUAGCGAUGAUGACGAUGUUGAUGAAGCUGGAGCAGAUAUCAUGGAGUCAACGGCCGUAGAAUAUUUCUAG